UCAUUACAUGACAUGUUACAGUAACCAAAGAUGCGGAGUGAAUGCUUUCUCGUUCUGUGCUGUCUUUGAAACUGUGUUGGUGCGUUGGUUUAUGGUGCAAGUUAGAUAUUGGAGAAGUAGCAGGGUGUCUUCUUGAAGCUGGCUUGGAAGCAGAACCAAUGAGUUAAGACCACCCAGCCUGAGUGUUGGCAUCAUGAGUAGAACAGAGAAGUACCUCAUGUCAGCAGUGAGAGAAGCAGGCCGCUGCAAAGCCACUGACUGGAAUGGUGUGGAGAGCAUACAGGGCAUCGUCCCACUUCCUAUCUCUUCGUGCUGAAGUGAAAUUGUACGAAGCUGGAAGUUUGGUGUCUGGAAGCUGGAUGCCCUACUUCUGGUGCAGUUAGAAGCAGGAAUAUGAGCGGCUUGGAACUGCUUGUGGCACCAGAUACAGCUGUGCCUCCUUCACAUUACCCUGGGCUGGGACAUCUUGAUGCAAAGUCAGAUUACUGCCAAUGUGUCCAUCUAAUCAAAAAAGGAAAAGAGACCUGCACCAAACACACACCGAGUGAUGAGGCAACCUGACCAGUACUCUGUUCUUUCGCAAGUUGAGCUAGGAAGCCUGGAGGAGAUUAGAGAGUAAAUUAUGUGCUUGUUUCUAUUUCCUGUUGGGAGUGCCUCUCUGUUGAAUAGGUGGCAGUUGCUGUGGAAUUGUUCUUACUUCCUGCCUGGAAAAAUGAUUGUGCAGCAUUUUAUUAUUUAAUUCUUGACAGAAAA